rnacentral:lncRNA from 1 species
CUGGUGCCAUUUCUGGGUACUAAAAGGAGAGCAGACCUCCCACCCCCUCUCAGGUAUGCGUGAGAUACUUUUUCUCCUGCAGUUCUGGAAGCUUGUUCCACCUAGGAAGAGAGUGGUGAGGCCAUCAGUCUGUCAGCUGCCAGCUAAUCUUCACAGCAGCAUUAGUAGUAAUGUCACCCUUCUGCCCUCAGUGAGAUGUCACGGUAAUGAAAAGAGGAACAAACACUUCUGGAACAAACACUUCUGGAACUGGAGAGGGGAGUGUAAGAGAGGAGAUCAAAAAAACAAGAAUCAGACCUGGAAGCUCCUGCAAUUACUACCAGCUCACCUGCUAGGACAACUAGUGCUAGGACAACUAGUCGCCAGGGCUGUCUACUGUUUGAUGCCACAGCAGUUGUCCAGAGGUAGAACUGUGUUAAACAUUUCUUCGUCUGAAUAUUCAGUGAGAAGGAAGAAAUGCUCUGCCAAGCAACACUUCUGUGAAUGUCCAAGAAUCUUAAACAAUAGAAGCUUGAAAUACAGUUUAAAAGAGGCAAUUUCUUACUUCUUUUGCUACUUCAGGCAAAAAUGAAGCUGCUUGGAUUACUUCCAGUCUGGCUCUCAAUACAUAUGAAGGAAGAAACAACGGUGUCUGCAAUUUAAUAAAAGUGAUUAUCUGUAAUGAAAAGCUGUGACC